rnacentral:rRNA from 1 species
UCACAAGCUUACUGACGUCAACCAAACUCCGAAUGCCGGGAAGUGAGAGCGCGGCAGUGAGACGGCGGGGGAUAAGCUUCGUCGUCGAGAGGGAAACAACCCAGAUCACCAGCUAAGGCCCCUAAGCGCGUGCUAAGUGGGAAAGGAUGUGGAGUCGCAGAGACAACCAGGAGGUGGGCUUGGAGGCAGCCACCCUUGAAAGAAAGCGUAAUAGCUCACUGGUCAAGUGAUUCCGCGCCGACAAUGUAACGGGGCUCAAGCACGCCGCCGAAGCUGUGGCUUUCGCACCAACGGGUGCGGAGGGGUAGGGGAGCGUCGUGUCGCGUCGAAGCAGCAGGGUGACCUAGUUGUGGAGCGACACGAGUGAGAAUGCAGGCAUGAGUAGCGAAUGAGGGGUGAGAAACCCCUCCGCCGAAUGACCAAGGGUUCCGGGGCAAGGCUAAUCCGCUCCGGGUGAGUCGGGACCUAAGGCGAGGCCGACAGGCGUAGUCGAUGGACAACGGGUUGAUAUUCCCGUACCGACAUGAUUAGCGAUGGUGUGACGUAGAGAGGUAACCCAACCGUGGCGAUGGUAGACCACGGCCAAGGGCGCAGGACGGAGCAUAGGCAAAUCCGGCUCCAUAAGUCCGAGACCUGAUGGGGAGGCUGUUUCGACGGCCGAGUGGGCGAUCCCGUGCUACCAAGAAAAGCCACCUAGUGUUAUUAAUCAUGUCGCCCGUACCCCAAACCGACACAGGUGGUCAGGUAGAGGAUACCAAGGCGAUCGAGAUAACCACGGUUAAGGAACUAGGCAAAAUACCCUCGUAACUUCGGGAGAAGAGGGGCCGGAGAUGUGUAGGGACUUGCUCCUGAAGCAUCAAUGGCCGCAGAGACCAGGCCCAAGCGACUGUUUACUAAAAACACAGGUCCGUGCGAAGUCGUAAGACGCUGUAUACGGACUGACGCCUGCCCGGUGCUGGAACGUUAAGGGGACCGGUCAGCCGCAAGGCGAAGCUGAGAACUUAAGCGCCAGUAAACGGCGGUGGUAACUAUAACCAUCCUAAGGUAGCGAAAUUCCUUGUCGGGUAAGUUCCGACCUGCACGAA